GAUCUUGGUGGUAGUAGCAAAUAAUCGAAUGAGACCUUGGAGGACUGAAGUGGAGAAGGGUUUCGUGAGAACAGUCGUUGAUCACGAGUUAGUCGGUCCUAAGUUCAAGGCGAAAGCCGAAAAUUUUCAAGUUUUAAAAAUGUCAAAUGAAAUAAUAAAUAAUAAAACACUUGAAUAAUUUUUCCAAUUCCGUAACCUGUUGAGUAUCCGUUUGUUAUUAAAUAUGGGCCUCGUGCUCAUCCUGGCAACAGGAACGACCAUAAUGAGUUUUCUUUUCUGUUUUAUAGCCGUACUACCAUGGAAGUCUUUCGCAGAGAGAUAUGGUAGAUGGGAUAGAAGUCGGAAGUCGGCAAAUUAGAUCCGUAACUUCGGGAUAAGGAUUGGCUCUGAAGAUUGAGAUAGUCGGGCUUGAUUGGGAAACAAUAACACGGUUUAUGUGUUCGUUCUUGGUAAAUAGAGUUUCUAUCAUUUAUGAUAGUUAUUUGUUCCCCGGAUAGUUAGUUACGUAGCCAAUUGUGGAACUUUCUUGCUAAAAUUUUUAAGAAUACUACUUUUUAAUUAGUUCUUUUAAAUUAUAACGAUUAUCAAUUAACAAUCAAUUCAGAACUGGCACGAACUUGGGGAAUCCGACUGUCUAAUUGAAACAAAGCAUUGUGAUGGCCCUAGCGGAUGUUGACACAAUGUGAUUUCUGCCCAGUGCUCUGAAUGUCAAAGUGAAGAAAGGUACAAACAUCGCAUUGUCAAAAAGAGGUGGUUUUAGUACGUAGGCGCUGUGGGACUUCAUUGUCCCGAUGAUGCAGCGAAUCGUGCAUACGAGAUUGUCUUUAGAAGAUAGGCAAAUGCCUCGUCAUCUAAUUAGUGACGCGCAUGAAUGGAUUAACGAGAUUCCUACUGUCCCUAUCUACUGUCUAGCGAAACCACAGCCAAGGGAACGGGCUUGGAAUAAUUAGCGGGGAAAGAAGACCCUUUUGAGCUUGACUCUAAUCUGGCAGUGUAAGGAGACUUAGGAGGUGUAGAAUAAGUGGGAGAUAUUAUUUCUUGUGUUUGAUAUCGCCAAUGAAAUACCACUACUCUUAUUGUUUCCUUACUUACUUGAUUAAAUGGAACGUGUAUCAUUUCCUACCCAUUAUACGGAUAUAUUUAUUAUAUCUUAUGGUGUUCGGUUUUGAUGCAAGCUUCUUGAUUAAAACACUUAGUAUCACGAGUUUGUUAUAUAAUCGCAAACAAAUUCUUUAAUGAGAGAGUGCAUUUAUGUUUUUUAAUUUGAAAUAUUUGGUAUAACUCCAAUUACUCAGGUAUGAUCCAAUUCAAGGACAUUGCCAGGUAGGGAGUUUGACUGGGGCGGUACAUCUCUCAAAUAAUAACGUAGGUGUCCCAAGGCCACCUCAGUGCGGACAGAAACCACACAUAGAGCAAAAGGGCAAAUGCUUAUCUGAUCUCGGUGUUCAGUACACACAGGGAAACCAAAAGCUCGGCCUAUAGAUCCUUUUGGGUUAAAGAGUUUUUAACAAGAGGUGUCAGAAAAGUUACCAUAGGGAUAACUGCCUUUUUGAUCCUUCGAUGUCGGCUGUUCCUAUCAUUGUGAAGCAAAAUUCACCAAGCGUUGGAUUUUUCACCCAUGCAAGGGAACGUGAGCUGGGCUUAGACCGUCGUGAGACAGGUUAGUUUUACCCUACUAAUGACAAAACGUUGUUGCGACAGCAUUCCUGCGUAGUACGAGAGGAACCGCAGGUACGGACCAAUGACACAAUACUUGUUCGAACGAACAGUGGUAUGAUGCUACGUCCGUUGGAUUAUGCCUGAACGCCUCUAAAGUCGUAUCCGUGCUGGACUGCAAUGAUAAAUAAGGGGCAAUUUGCAUUGU
rnacentral:rRNA from 1 species